UAUGUACAAAUGUGAAUAUUGCAUACGAUGUGUUAAAUGAAAUGUUAUAAUCAUGUUAUGCGCAAAUUUGAAAUAAUAAUAAAAAAUGUAUAAAUUGAAAUUAAAAUUGAACUUCUGGUUAUUUUUUCUAUCCUUAGCGAACAAUUGCAUGCUGAUAGCUAUUCAGUGUGGUACAGAUGUUUAUCACAGCUGUGACUAUGACUUGAAUUUCUUUUGUUACCAUGAACUCAGUUUCAAGCUGUUAGUAAAUAUUAAAUUACUACUUUUAAAGGUUUUUGAGUGUGGGAUUCAACAUCGCGUAGAUAAAUCACGCAAUGUUGAAUCCCACAGUCAUCAAUCAUUUUAUAUUAUAUAAUAAUGGGCUACGCUUCUUAACGUCAGUCAUAAGGGUUGGACUGGUCUUUGGCGUAUCUUAAAAUAAUGGCAUAUUUACGCAUUAAAUGGCAUUUUCACGCAUUAAAUAUUCAUGUGGUGGAGUACGUUUUUGUGUGUGUUAUUAAAAUGCAUGCAUGCAUACAUGUAUUUUUUGCGAAAUAUUAAUUGGAAUUUUAUACUUUUAUCUUACAGCAUAUUCAAGUUGGAAGUGAAAAAAUUGUGAAACGUGUGACUCUUUGCAGAGAAUUCUUAUUGGCCUAUACACCAUCGCAGGUAUUGUUUGUGUUUAAUAUUUUUAUAUUGUAAACUUUAUAUAAUACUUUUAUAUUGUUUCUUUUAAAUGAACGGGUCUCAUAAGACGCGUUUCUUUCAAGGUGUGUAUGUAAGUACGUGUGCACGUGUUAAACUCUUCAUUUAAUCUAUGUUUUUUUAUUCUGCAGUGGACAUUGUCAAACGAGGAAAAUAUGGCUGAAUUAAGUAUUGAGUCAUAUGAACUUUCAAUUCGUCGGGAGGCACAAGUAAUUUUCACUGAGCUACAAAGAGUAUCAAUCACUGAUCUAGAGGCAGUUGGCUUCAUCAAGAUAAA